rnacentral:lncRNA from 1 species
GUAGAUUAAAAAUUACACCACUCCGGGCCCUUUUUGUUUCCACGUAAUUAAUAUUGCCAAUAAUUAGGAAGUUCCAGGUCGAGUCCGAUACUGAUACCAAUAGUAUAUUCACCUGUUACCUAUUACCUUAUCUGUGCGUUCAACAUCUGACAGGUGCACCACCAAACGGUGUAUUCAUGAUUAAUAUGCUAAAUACACGGGUCAUAAUCACAGGGUUGACACUACUUAAUUGUCAAAUUGUUACCUAUUGUAGUAUUUUAAUCAGUAAGACUUUCUAAGAUAACAAAUCUGGACUAAAAAU